GAAACCUGGGCUAAUACCGCAUAAAGUCCAUGAUUCGCAUGAAUCGUGAAUGAAAGGGGGCCUCUGCUUGCAAGCUCUCGCCUGUUGAGGGGGUCGCGACGUAUCAGCUAGUUGGUGAGGUAAUGGCUCACCAAGGCAAUGACGCGUAGCGGGUCUGAGAGGACGACCCGUCACAUUGGGACUGAGAUACGGCCCAGACUCCUACGGGAGGCAGCAGCGGGGAAUAUUGCGCAAUGGCCGAAAGGUUGACGCAGCGACGCCGCGUGUGGGAGGAAGCCCUUCGGGGUGUAAACCACUGUCAGGGGGGAAGAAUGUCGGUAGUGCGAAUAGUGCUAUCGAUUGACGGUACCCCCAGAGGAAGCGCCGGCUAACCCCCGUGCCAGCAGCCGCGGUAAGACGGAAGGGCGCAAGCGUUGUUCGGAAUUACUGGGCCGUUAAA
rnacentral:rRNA from 1 species